rnacentral:tRNA from 8 species
GCCCAGGUGGCGGAAUUGGUAGACGCGCUAGCUUCAGGUGCUAGUGCCCUUAUGGGCGUGGAAGUUCGAGUCUUCUCCUGGGCACCA